CAUGCUGGGAGUCGGAGAGCCGUUAAAUAAUAAACGAAACAUCGAACAAUAAAGCAAACACGAGUGGCAGUACAGACAUGAAACACAUAAACAGAAACAAUAACGCCUGGGGAAAGAACCAAAGGGAGUAAACGUGACAGGGCGAAGAGGAGGAGGCAGGAAGAUGAAGGACAGGAGUGAGGGUAAAAAAGUCAGACGGGAGAGGAAGAGGACAAGGAGAAAAAAAGAAGGGGAGAGAAAAAGGGGUGACUCGUAAGAUCAGCCGUUCUGUGGCGAAGGUUCACCUGGGCCAGCUGGAGAGCAUCAGUCUGGGUAACCUGCACUCCAAGAGAGACUGGGACCAUGCCAAGGACUACGCAGAGAGGGGUUGGGUUAAAUACGGAAGACGCAUUUCAGUUGAAUGCAUUCAGUUGUACAACUGACUAGGUAUCCCCCUUUCCCUUUCCGUUUCCCUUUCCC